UGGGGAAUUUUGGACAAUGGGGGCAACCCUGAUCCAGCCAUCCCGCGUGUGCGAUGAAGGCCUUCGGGUUGUAAAGCACUUUUGGCAGGGAAGAACAGCCUGGGAUAAUACCCCGGGCGACUGACGGUACCUGCAGAAUAAGCACCGGCUAACUACGUGCCAGCAGCCGCGGUAAUACGUAGGGUGCAAGCGUUAAUCGGAAUUACUGGGCGUAAAGCGUGCGCAGGCGGUUCGGAAAGAAAGGUGUGAAAUCCCAGGGCUUAACCUUGGAACUGCACUUUUAACUACCGAGCUAGAGUACGUCAGAGGGGGGUAGAAUUCCACGUGUAGCAGUGAAAUGCGUAGAGAUGUGGAGGAAUACCGAUGGCGAAGGCAGCCCCCUGGGAUGAUACUGACGCUCAUGCACGAAAGCGUGGGGAGCAAACAGGAUUAGAUACCCUGGUAGUCCACGCCCUAAACGAUGUCAACUAGCUGUUGGGGUUUAUUAACCUUANUAGCGCAGCUAACGCGUGAAGUUGACCGCCU
rnacentral:rRNA from 1 species